rnacentral:rRNA from 1 species
GUUGUUCGGAAUAACUGGGCGUAAAGGGUGCGUAGGUGGGCGUGUGCGUUAGAUGUGAAAUCCCCGGGCUUAACCUGGGAACUGCAUUUAAUACGGCACGUCUAGAGUGCGAGAGGGGAAAGCGGAAUGGCGAGUGGAGCAGUGAAAUGCAUUGAGAUUCGCUAGAACACCAGAGGCGAAGGCGGCUUUCUGGCUCGCUACUGACACUAAGGCACGAAAGCGUGGGGAGC